GCAUUAGAGAAGAGGAAAGAAGACCCUAUUGAGCUUGACUCUAGUCUGACUUUGUGAACUGACUUGAGAGGUGUAGGAUAAGUGGGAGCUGGAAACAACGAAAGUGAAAUACCGCUACUUUUAACGUUAUUUUACUUCUUCCAUGAAUCAGAAGCGGGGCGCUGCCCCUCUUUUUGGACCCAAGGCUGGCCUCGGUCGGUCGAUCCAAGCAGAAGACAUUGUCAGGUGGGGAGUUUGGCUGGGGCGGCACAUAUAUUAAAAGAUAACGCAAGUGUCCUAAGAUGAGCUCAACAAGAACAAAAAUCUCGUGUAGAACAAAAGGGUAAAAACUCGUUUGAUUUCGAUUUCUAGUACGAAUACGAAUAGUGAAAGCGUGGCCUAUCGAUCCUUUUUUCCUUUAGAAUUUGAAACUAGAGGUGUUAUAAAAGUUACCAUAAGGAUAACUAGCUUGUGGCAGCCAAGCAUUCAUAGCAACGUUGGUUUUUGAUCCUUCGAUGUCGGCUCUUCCUAUCAUUGUGAAGCAGAAUUCACCAAGUGUUGGAUUGUUCACCCAUCAAUAGGGAACCUGAGCUGGGUUUAGACCCUCGUGAGAUAGGUUAGUUUUACCCUACUGAUGAUAGUGUCACAAUAUUAAUUCAACCUAGUACGAGAGGAACCGUUGAUUUGCACAAUUGGUCAUCGCGCUCGGUUCAAAAGCCAGUGGCGUGAAGCUACCCUGCGUUGGAUUAUGACUAAACGCCUCUAAGUUAGAAUCCAGGCUAGAAGCGACGCGUGCACCUGUCGUUUGCUUGUCAACCAGUAGUAAGGGGUCUCCACCCUCCAGAGGCCCGUGCUAUUGGCAAUCCUCGUAAGGCUGAUCAGCCAUGCGAGACGCCUUGAAGCGCAAUUUCCAUUGAGCGACGAGUAGAAUCAUUUGUAGAUGACUUAAAUACAUGAUGGGGUUUUGUAAGUGGCAGAGAGGCCUUGCUGCCACGAUCCACUGAGAUUCAGCCCUUGUCGCUCUGAUUC
rnacentral:ncRNA from 1 species